rnacentral:rRNA from 1 species
GACGAACGCUGGCGGCGUGCUUAACACAUGCAAGUCGAGCGGUAAGGCCCUUUCGGGGGUACACGAGCGGCGAACGGGUGAGUAACACGUGAGUAAUCUGCCCUCCACUUGGGGAUAAGCUUCGGAAACGGGGUCUAAUACCUGAUAUGACAACUACUCGCAUGGGUUGGUUGUGGAAAGUUUUUUCGGUGGGGGAUGUGCUCGCGGCCUAUCAGCUUGUUGGUGGGGUAAUGGCCUACCAAGGCUUCGACGGGUAGCCGGCCUGAGAGGGUGACCGGCCACACUGGGACUGAGACACGGCCCAGACUCCUACGGGAGGCAGCAGUGGGGAAUAUUGGACAAUGGGCGGAAGCCUGAUCCAGCAACGCCGCGUGAGGGAUGACGGCCUUCGGGUUGUAAACCUCUUUCAGUACCGACGAAGCGCCCGUUGUGGGUGGUGACGGUAGGUACAGAAGAAGCACCGGCCAACUACGUGCCAGCAGCCGCGGUAAUACGUAGGGUGCGAGCGUUGUCCGGAAUUAUUGGGCGUAAAGGGCUCGUAGGCGGUUUGUCGCGUCGGGAGUGAAAACUCAGGGCUUAACCCUGAGCCUGCUUCCGAUACGGGCAGACUAGAGGUAUGCAGGGGAGAACGGAAUUCCUGGUGUAGCGGUGAAAUGCGCAGAUAUCAGGAGGAACACCGGUGGCGAAGGCGGUUCUCUGGGCAUUACCUGACGCUGAGGAGCGAAAGUGUGGGGAGCGAACAGG